AUGAGGAAUGAUUGGAACCAGGUUUCCAGAUAGUUUGUUGUAGUUGAUUGUGGGUUUGUAUCUCGCUUUAAGUCACAUAAAAAUGAAUAAUCUUCUCUUGUGAACUAGUAUAUACUAUAAGACUACAAGUUCAUCAUCGAGAAAACUUUUAUGUUAUUGUGGAAACUCAUGUAUGGAGGUAUCUAUCUAUCUAUCUAUCUAUAAUAAUAAAAGAGACUUUUCUCUCUUCUCAGCCCUCCACAUCAGCAAAAAUAUAUGGGCAUUUUGUGCCACCUGUCAACCUGUUAUUAACUUGCACGAGAGUUUUGGUUAUUGGGCUAGCUGCUUCAGCUGAUUAUUGGAAUGGGCUGUUACAGUUUUUAUUAGGUUUCGUUAGUUUUCCUGUUGAAGAUGCAGAGACAGAAUCGGCUUGACGCUUCAGAACUCACCUCCUCUGAUCUUCUUCGUCUGUAUAACGGCUUAAGUUAUCGUCUUCCGGAUACAUUAAUCCACCAAGCAUUAACGAGUUCUCCAUCACUACUCCCACUCUCUUGAAUUAAAGAGGAAUUAGCAUCCUCCACAAUAUAAAUGGGUUCGCCGCCUGCGUUGAACAGUCACACCACUGCGAAAUCUCGAAGAUC
rnacentral:lncRNA from 1 species